rnacentral:rRNA from 1 species
UACAGAGACCUCAAGCGUUAUCCGGAAUCAUUGGGCGUAAAGCGUACCGAUAGGUGGUUUUACAAGUCAGAAGUGAAAUCUCAAGGCUCAACCUUGAGACUGUCUUUUGAAACUGUAAAACUAGAGGGGCAAAGAGGAAGCUGGAACGAACGGUGUAGUAGUGAAAUGCGUUGAUAUCGUUCGGAACACCAAUAGCGUAGGCAGGCUUCUGGGUGCCACCUGACACUGCUAGGACGAAAGCGUGGGGAGCGAACGGG